UUGCACCAUUUUCUACUCGCACUUUGGUUGUAUUUUUCCAGUAACUAGGGGAUUGACAUGGCUUGAUACUCAAAAGAUACAAAAGGCUAUAUAGAGAUCCCCACCCCGCCCCCAAUCCUACCUACCAGCUACCCAGUUUUCUGCCCCAGGGACACUGUGUCGUUCACCAGCUUCUAGGGUGUCUUUUCCAGAGACUCGUUUUAAAAAAAAAAAAAAAAAUUCUGUGCAGAUAGAUUGAGUAUAAGCCUUGUGAAAGGCAUGCCAGACCAGUUCAUAUUUUCACGUUUCGGCGUCUAUGCGUAUUCACAGAAGGUUUCGUCAGUUGGAAUGGUUUCCAGGUCUUGCUCAGAUAUUUGAGUGCCAGACACUGUUAUCCUGCUGGGAUAUAACAAUAAAUAAAAGUCCCUGCGGUCAUGGAGCUUAACAUGCUAGCUGGGCAGUGCCUCUGACAGCCACCAUUCUACUUUUUGUCUUUAUGAAUUUGGUCUGUCUACCUCAU